rnacentral:rRNA from 1 species
CCUACGGGACGCAGCAGUAGGGAAUCUUCCACAAUGGACGAAAGUCUGAUGGAGCAACGCCGCGUGAGUGAAGAAGGGUUUCGGCUCGUCAAACUCCGGUGGUAGUGAAGAAAAAUAGAGGUAGUAACCGGCCUUUAUUUGACGGCAAUUACUUAGAAAGUCACGGCUAACUACGUGCCAGCAGCCGCGGUAAUACGUAGGUGGCAAGGGUUGUCCGGCUUUAUUGGGGGUAAA